rnacentral:sRNA from 1 species
GGUCCACACGCAGCAUGCUUCCCCAUGCCUGUACCCUGGGGGAUUUAGGUCCCAGCCUCUGCCCUCCCGGCUCCCCCUCCCCCUGCAGGUACUACCGCAUGGCAGCCUUCGGCCACCACGCCUACCGCAUGCAGGCGGCUGACGUGCUCUAUGACUGCCUGCCCCUGUACCACUCGGCAGGUACUACGGCCUGGGAAGGGAAUGGUGGGUGGGGGCGGGGGACCCCUUACCAAGGCCACCCUCUGCAGGAAACAUCAUCGGCGUGGGGCAGUGUCUCAUCUAUGGGCUGACAGUCGUCCUCCGCAAGAAAUUCUCGGCCAGCCGCUUCUGGGACGACUGCAUCAAGUACAACUGCACGGUGGUUCAGUACAUCGGGGAGAUCUGCCGCUACCUGCUGAAGCAGCCGGUGCGCGAGGCGGAGAGGCGACACCGCGUGCGCCUGGCGGUGGGGAACGGGCUGCGUCCUGCCAUCUGGGAGGAGUUCACGGAGCGCUUCGGCGUACGCCAAAUCGGGGAGUUCUACGGCGCCACCGAGUGCAACUGCAGCAUUGCCAACAUGGACGGCAAGGUCGGCUCCUGUGGUUUCAACAGCCGCAUCCUGCCCCACGUGUACCCCAUCCGGCUGGUGAAGGUCAAUGAGGACACAAUGGAGCUGCUGCGGGAUGCCCAGGGCCUCUGCAUCCCCUGCCAGGCCGGGGAGCCUGGCCUCCUUGUGGGUCAGAUCAACCAACAGGACCCGCUGCGCCGCUUCGAUGG